rnacentral:lncRNA from 1 species
CAGAGGAUCAAAUCAUGGAGUCCUCUAAAAUAGCUGCCCUUCUCUUCAUUUCCAUGCUCUUUAUUUCCUCAGCCAUUCCCAUUCUUGUUUGUGGAUACUGUUCCAAUCCCCCACCAAAACGCGAGAAACCAAAAUAUCCACCAAAUGUCAAACCACCAGGAACCCUGCCGCCGAUAGUCAAACCACCAGUAACCCUGCCACCAAUAGUCAAACCACCGGUAACACUGCCGUCGAUAGUGACCCCCUCCAGUUACAUUGCCUCCAAAGGGAAAGGGAACACCCUGCCCACCACCACCGCCUGCGGCUUUGCCAUCAGUAACAUGUCCCAUUGACACAUUAAAACUUGGUGCUUGUGUGGAUUUACUUGGUGGGCUGGUGCACAUUGGGCUUGGGGACCCUGCGGUUAAUCAGUGCUGCCCAGUGCUUCAAGGGCUUGUGGAACUUGAAGCUGCAGUUUGUUUAUG